rnacentral:rRNA from 1 species
GAUGAACGCUAGCUAUAGGCUUAACACAUGCAAGUCGAGGGGAAACGGCAUUAUGUGCUUGCACAUUUUGGACGUCGACCGGCGCACGGGUGAGUAUCGCGUAUCCAACCUGCCCUUUACUUGGGGAUACCCCGUUGAAAGACGGCCUAAUACCCGAUGUAAUUCAUUGAUGGCAUCAGAUAUGAAUAAAAGAUUUAUCGGUAAAGGAUGGGGAUGCGUCUGAUUAGCUUGUUGGUGAGGUAACGGCUCACCAAGGCGACGAUCAGUAGGGGUUCUGAGAGGAAGGUCCCCCACAUUGGAACUGAGACACGGUCCAAACUCCUACGGGAGGCAGCAGUGAGGAAUAUUGGUCAAUGGGCGCAAGCCUGAACCAGCCAAGUAGCGUGCAGGAAGACGGCCCUAUGGGUUGUAAACUGCUUUUAUACGAGAAUAAUUUGAUGCACGUGUGCGUUAUUGCAUGUAACGUAUGAAUAAGGACCGGCUAAUUCCGUG